UGGCAUUCACUGGUGUGAU
rnacentral:siRNA from 1 species